UCUCUUUGCAUUAUCGAUCAUCUUUGUCCAAAAAGCAAGUCAAACAGCCCCUCCCAAUGCCAUCCACACACAGGGUGAUGUGCCUUGUCUCGGGUCCUGUCACAUGAGGCUUUCCCAUAUUAGGUGUGGUGCUGAAUGUGCUAAACAAACCACUAGAGAUAAAGGGGAAAUGGCCAAAAACCAUGGCCUCAAAUUCGUAGCUACUGGCCCCUUCCUGCAGAACUCCCAUCAGAAGGCAGUAUUUCUGUGCAUCCAGUGCUGGCAGGACGAAACCCUUAAAACCAGACAACCCUCAGAUCCCCGGCACACUAUUUAUGGCAUCAGUGGGAUGAAUUCAUCCACAUUUCAAGGCAGAACGCAUUCAUCUCUACUUUUUCCUGGCUUUUGUUCACCAAAAAAAAACCCACCCCACGUUAGCAGAGCCAUGUUACAAACUGUUUCCCGGUUCUGUUAUUCAGCGUUUUGUAGCUACCACGGCUGGCCAACAGGCUGUAAAUCUUGCCUGGUGUUUUGUAACAAAGGCAAAAAUAGAAUGAUUUGUGUUGACUUUUGGUCAUCGUGUAUCAUUAUCGAUCCGGGGGAGGGCGGCGAGGAGCGCCUACCGCGUAUCUGUUGCUCGCCACUUCUCCGGGAAGGCGGCGUGAGCCGGCAGUCAGUAGAGGGCAAUAGAGAAAUACAGUUUGUGAUGCCUAAAGGAUUUGAAGCCCUGAUUAUGUGUUUACAGAAAAGAAAAAGAAGAAAAGAAGAGCCAGGAGGAUAGGUUGUUCAGUUUACUACCGGAGACCUGACUGUGACAGAGCACCAGGAAAACAAAAUGUUCAAAGAGAGUGAAGAAGACCUUCUGCAGCAUCUGCAAGUCUGUCCUUUUCUCUUCAGAGUUACGUGGGAUAACUUAGCCAGAACUUAUUGAUGUCUGCAUGUUCAGUGGACUCGGGAAUGCAUUGGGAGAUGCAGAAACGUACUCUUUGGAAGAAACAGGAGAGGAGGCAUUUCAAAGAUCCUGCAGGUGACAAAGGUGAUGAUUUGCUGACAGAAUAAAUAAAUCAUAGAAAGUGCCGAGACUGCAUAGGCAUUUGCUGUGGUAUCACUCCCCCAUGAGGAACCUUCAUCACAGUCUUUCUUCAAGUAUGUUCUCUCCUGUGAGUUCAUUAUUUUGCAGAGGAUGGGUCUUUUUUCCCUGCAGGGAUCUAUCUAUCACUGCUGACUCUCUGCAUCUUCUCCGCAUGGAAGAAGUAAUUGGAUUGUAUUUUCUGCACACGACCAAGACAGCAGGGAAACCCACAGCUGUAAGCUAGAGAACCAAGCUGUCUAGAGAGUAAGUACCUGAUGCCUAAGAAAACGAAAUGUCUAGCCACAAUAUCUUUCCUUUCUUUCCAUGGAGGAGCUGCGACAUGCUGAACUGCAUUCACCAGACUGCUCAGGAAGGCUGGGCCUGGGCCUCACCAGCAUGCCUAAUGUCAUCAGGACUAAGGACAUGAGGAGAAUGAGGUAUCCCGACCCAGCAGUGAAGCCAUGCCAGUACAAAGAUCAAAACCCAAAGUGACUGCACCUCAGACAAAGGAGGAGAAGGGAAGUUGUUGAGGUCACCACAGAGAUGUCUGAUUUACAAUUCCACCAAGGUACAUUUGCUGUGUCACAGCUCCGUCUCUUCUCCCCAGUGCCUGUUAAGGCAUCUUUCAGCAUGACACAUCCCAUCUUUGACUCACCAGAAGACAUGCUUCAAUUCAGCUAUAAAAUAGGAACUUAAGGAAAGAACUUGAAAGUCUGUGGCAAGCCUAUAAGAACUGAUGUAUGACACAAUUGUGAAGUUUAAUUCUAUUCUGAAGACCAAUGAAUAGACAAAGAUUCCUAUUUCUAAGAAAACAAAGACAUAAAUCUACAGCCACUUUGACAAACGAUGUGCGGAUUUCUCCUGGGAAACGUGCAAAGAAGGACCACACCAAUGGAAAAGCUGUCCCAAGAUUAUGUCACCUACAUGUAUCAUGAAGGAAUUUUCUUCUUGGCUGCUCAGGGGAGGAUUUUUAACAUUUGCCUCCCAUUUACUCCACAACAUUUCAUUGCUGGAUAACUUGUACUUUUUCACACCAUUUUAAUUUGAUGGCAUGUAUGAGUAAUGCAGAGACCUUUCUUUCCUAAGGGAAAUUAAGAAAAUAAUUCAUUUUUUCGCUCAGUAACUCAACUGAAUUCAAUUUGGGUUCAUUAUUUUAGGAAAGGUAUUUACCUAGUUCUGUCAAAUUAAAAUAUGGAAAGAAAAAUGUCAAUAAUACUGACCAUUUUGUCAUCACAAUUCUUAGUUCUUUCAUGCCAUGCUUCCAACACAUACACCUUAAUUUUGCAAAGGGAAAAACUAACAUGAAAUCUUAGAAGGCAUAAGUCACAUUUGCAAUUUCUGCAUGUUACUAAAUAUUUACAUACACUAUGUGCAUGGAACAAAACUUCAGCAAAGCAGUUUUCACAUUGAUUUCGUUUUUUGAGCUCAUUUGUAAGGUUUUAAUUUUAACUUUUUUCUUGCAUUUAUUUCAAUAUAUAUUUGCCAGAUGAAUUGCACACACAGAAAAAGGUGUAAUAGAAGGGCAGGAGUAUCAGCUGCAUUAUGUGUCCCUAAAAGACAGAGAAAAAACAAUAUUUGGAAAUUUCUGUGGCACAGGGUCCUGCUGGCAGCUGUUGAUCUCAUUCCUAUCCCUUACAUGGGGUUGUUAAUGCAAGGAUGCAUAUGGGAAUGGCUGAGGACUGGAGAGGCCAUGACCAAAGUGAAUAUUGAUUCUCUUUUUCCUUUGUGUGGCUGCCUGUGUAGAAAACAUCGAUCAGUAGUGCAGCCUGAGAGAAGGCUGAAUGAAUUAAUGGAAGAGAGAACCCUCUCAGAGCUACUGAAUCCACAGAAAAUCAGCCUGGCUUGGGAUGCGUCUGGGCUGCAAGUGCUUUGCAGUAGAGAGGAGAGGCUGCUUGCAAUUCUCCGGUCUCACGCUCCUCGUUCCAACAUCAGCUCUAGGGCGUUAGCAUUAGCUGUUCUUAUUUCAUUAUGCUUUUAUUUACUGUUGGCAGGAGAGAAGGAUUGGAAGCUGCCCAGAGUGCUGGCUGCAGCCAGUGAGAGACCUCUCUUUCUACAGGGCUGGCUGCAGCACAGAAUUGACGGGUGCUGAGUAAAUGUGUUUCAUAUCCAGAGAAAAUUUUCCAGAGUGCCUAAAUACCUUGAAACUGCAGGUUCUGUUGGACAAGAUCAAGUAAUUUUCUUGGAAAACUGCUUCCAGUUAACUUUCUCUCUUUUUGUCUCUCUCCCCAUGUUUGUGCAUUUCAAUUAUGCAGAAAUGUAUCAUUUAGCUCCACUUCCUUUUAUUUAAGCAGGUAAGGAACAGUGAGCUUCAAAACUGAAACCUUUUAGCAUCAAAUAUUAUGUCUCUGAUAGAAAAACACAUAUUUCCUUUUUAAUUCUCAGUCUUGUUAACCGGUAAUGGUAACUUUGUUCCCAGAAGCCCAGAACACUAGAUGGAUAGACUGCAGCAAAACGAGUUACAUGUUGUAUUUAGAAACAAGUACCUUUAAAAAUUUACCUGUCUGCCAAGACUUGGAAAAAUGAGAAAGCAAGUUCAGCUCAAUACACAGAGCAGUUCCUCACUGUCUGACUCUCCUCAUGGCUGCUGGGAAACCUGGCAUGUCAGGUAACACAUGCUGAGCAAGAGCCAAAAAGCCCUUUGCUGCUUCUAAAAAUCAAACAAGCUCCUUGUUGGAAAACAGCUCUUUUCGGAGGCAGUACAGCUGUGGAUGAUGCUGUAGCCACACUACUCAGCCAGCGUACCUACCAUGGACCAGCUUUCAGCAGUGCCAGCAGGUAAGAUGUAUAACAAGGGAUACCUGUGCCAGAGCAUCCUACCUUUCUUUAUACCUCCAUUUCACAAACAACACACACUAAAAGCAACCAUUUACAUGAAACAAGCAAUGAUGAAAUAUACCUGUUGAGUUGUUCACAGUCCACUAAGUCAGGAGAGCCCCUGGGUCAGCCUGCACUGCUUUGGCCUCCAAUUCUUUCCUGACUCAUCUGCAGCUCUGCUGUUUCAUUUUGGGAGAUUUCUCAGUUUUGGCUUUGCCCUGCCAGUAGCAUCUGGUGCUGUUCUCUCCUGGCAUGACUGCAACUGGCUGCCCCUUCUGGAAGAAAAGAGAUGAUUUUUUGAGGCUGUGGUGAUCUGGUGUGGCAGGUGUUAUACAAUCUCAGAUAGGAGGUCUCAAGUAGCAGAGUCUCCUGUCUGUUCAAGAGCUUACAGGCUGAAUGCCUUUGUAACCUCCUCCUGGGCUUGAGGGUGGCAUCAGGUGCUGGGGCUCUUUCACACUGCAGGGUUUGUAGCAUCUGGCCAAUGCCAUGGAUUAUAACAAUAAAUGACACCAUGCACAACAAACAUCUCCAGAGGUUUUUCUGACUUCAGUCUCUAAUCUUCUAGGCUUCCUGUGUCCCUUAUCUGUCUAUAAUGCUUUAGAAAUGACAAUGCUAGUGAUUUUGACAUUGAGGAUUCAUGUGAAACUGGUGCAGAGGCUGGUAAGAGGCUGCCCUGACCCUCUGGGUCUGGGAGUGUCACAUUCUCUCUGCGUUUGAACCAAAAGUGGAGAGGGUAUGGAAGGGUCAGACAGACAUCCAUAUGACCCCGCUUUCUUCUGUCUCAUGGGACUUUGUGCACAAUUGACAAUUACAGAUGUAGCCCUGAGACUCACACCAAGCUUCUGACCUGUUGUCACACACUAUUUUAUGCAGCAUGUCAUGUCCAACAUGACUGUAAUGUCUUCUGUCUUACUCACAUUCAGCUCUGUCUCCUGCUUUUUUUAACUUCUCUCCCAGGAAUUUCUUUUAGGCAGACUUUUCUUCCAUUAUUCAGACUCAAAUCACUUUUCACCACUGUUUUGUUCCACAUCAAAGCAUGUAGGCUCACCCCCUUUGCACUUAGGGCUCCCAAAAGCCUAGAAAACUGCUCUGAGGAAGCUGGCCUCUAUGGAGCUGAGGCAAUGAGCUGGGGUGGCUGUACACAUUCUUGUUAUUGAAGGCAAACAGACCUGUCCACGCUGUUUCAUUCCACCCCCCAGGGAUUUGGCUGGGCUAUCUCUCUGCCAGUUCACUGUUUUCCCUGUCUGAGAGUGUUUGCUGUGGGCAGUCAUGCUUGGCCAGAGGAUCUGCUCCAUGGUUCUGCUCAGACAAGCCUGUCUCCCAUGUGUUCAGCCUGUGUUGUGUAAAGAGUGUCAGACCUUUGCUGGAACCACUGGGUGGCUGCCUAAGAGAAAUGCUGGGAGUCAGCACAGGUACGUCCUGCAGUGCCCACUGUGGGCAGUAGGCUGUAGUGAUUGCCAGGGCCUCCCUUCUGGGCUGUAAAGGCUUUGCAAACAACCCUUCUGUGUGGUACUCUGUGCAGCAUAUCCAGCUUGCUGUAUUCCAGAGACAUUGCUGGGCACUACCUUCUCCUCACCUGAGAGCUGUGGGGGCCCAGUGACAUGUGCUAUGCUUGUCUGAGAGCUCAGCAGUGACCUCUUUGUGGUGCUGGUGAACUCUCCAGGGCUGGAUCUGUUUCUCUCAGUAAUUUUGCUUGCACUCUGGAAUCCCACAAGCAGCUCUUGCUUUUAAUUAGGGGCACCAUAAAGUCUCCAAAGACACGUGUAGUGUCAGAGAUCUUACAUCUGAAACAUAAGGCUCAACUACCUCAUAUUUUUAUUUUCAGUUUUGAGCAAAAUUACUGAGUCCCUCUACAACCUUAUUCUGUCCAGGUCAAGUCUUCAAAUAACUUUCUUGAUGGUUCAAUUUUUCCAAGAAUUAUUUUGAAAAUAAUAAGUGACUCUCUCAAGUCACUUCUUGUCCUUUUUAUUCAGUGAGAAAGUGAAAACUUUUACUUCCAUGUUUUCUCACUCUUUCAUGACCAACUCCAUGUAUCAAUUUCCUGCUCACAUGAACCCUUCAAACUGGCUUUUUGAGCUCUCAGUGACCUAAGUCCCUUGUGGCAGUUUGCCUACUUUAUUCCCAGGCUGUCUUUCUGUGUCUACUGCACUGGCUGGUGACAUAAACUCUGUCCCACCUCUCAGAAAGGGACAGUUUAUCUCCAGCAGCAGUUCAUCCCUUUGGAGUAGCACUGCUACUGAUGUUAAUAACAGAGAAGUCUUGUUAGAGUCUGUGGCAAACAUCCCUCAUGUACCUACAGCAAAUGAGGAGAUAUUUGAAGGUGAGCUAUGUCCUGAUAUCAUCUGUUGGAAAGGACUUUAUGUUUCAUAUAUUUCAUGUUAUUGCUCUGAAAGACUAAAUGUAAGAGCACAUUUCCAACUGAAGUGCUUUUGGAAAUUAAAUCCAUGUUUAAAUGAAUUUUAAACUUUUAAUGCAAAAUUGAGCACUUAGAAAUUUUGCAUCAGCUCCAACUUAAUUAAAAUUAAUAAGGUUUCAGAGAGUUUUAGUUGGGAUAGAUGAGGAAAGAAUUUGGCCUUAAAUGCGUAAUUAAAAUACAAUUACAUUGGAAGGAAGUAAUUACUGAGGUUGUACCUCAAAAGCAUACCUAAUGGGCUAUCAGGAGAAAAGGUUUAUGUGUUUGGUUCACCAGCUAUAUAAGAUAUAAAAGGAUGUAGUCACUGAAAGAAAGAGAUUUUAACAGGAUAAUUUAGAUAGAUAGUAGCAGCUCCUUUAUGGUCAAAUCAUUCUGGCUACAUUUGGGAGGGGGACUGCUUAAUCUUCGUUUGGGGUGUGCAAGCACCUACACAAGUUUUCCUUCUGAAACAUUUAAUUGUUUCCCAGCCCUCUCAUGGGCCUGUGAGAGAAGGAAGUGUUGCUCAGCCAGCGUCAAACAUCUCUGGAUCAGUAAAAAGUUAGCACUGAAAGACCUCAGCCGUCUGAUUUUAGGAACUGUUUGACAAAUGACUUCUCAAAGUGAAGGGCCUAAUCUGAUUCUGGUUAAAACCAUGGAGGGAAUGGUCCUCUUGGUCCCUGCACCAGUGUGCAUGAAGCCCUGAGCAUAGAACCAGAAUUGUGGUGUUAUUUUUGCGUAAACCUGAACUUGGUGGGUUUUUUACAUUAUUGCCCUGGCAUGCCUAUGAAAAAUGGUUUAAUAAAUAAGACAUUCCACAACAAGCACAAAACAGACAGGUUUGGGAGUUAAAGUUGAAGUGUGAGCAUUAAAACUGAAGCCAUUUUGUGCUCUGUGGAGACAGAACAAUCCAUCAUGUGGUUUUUUUUGUUUUGUUUUUUGUUUGGCUUUUUUUCUUUUUUUUGGGUAAUGUGAUAGGUUUUGAUUUCGAAGUCAGUGGUGAGGUUUCUGUUGACUGCACUGGAGUUUGGAUUAGGUUCACGGAAAUAAAUGAAUUUUAUAUUUUAUAUUAUUUUAUUAUAAAAUAUAUAGGUAGUCAAAGAUGAAAGGUUCACAGUCCCAUUUGGAUCAGCUCCUUUUCAAAGGUUCAGAGGCACAGAUUGCAUCGAAUGGCCUGGAACACCUGGGUGUAACCUCGAGUUUGUCACAUCAAGGUGAUUUGAUUGGUCUUGUAGCAACUCACACCUGAAAAAGCAGCCUUUAUAUCUUCCUCAAGAUAAUUAAAUACAGAUUCAAGCAGAGGAGCAAUAUUGCUAAGUGUCCUUUUGUUAAGUUGUUGGUCUCUGAAGAUUCUCACAUUUCAGUCAUGAUUGACCUAAGUGGCAGCAGAGCUCUCAGCCAUGGAAACCACAUCUGGAGAAAUCCCACCUCUCAAAAUCACAAAACUCUUAAGGAUUUACAUGGGGUGACAUUAACUACCAGGAUUAAAUAAAUGUACCAAAAACAUUCUCCCAGUUGCAAAGGUCACCGAAAAGCCACACAGGUUUGGCUUAUGCUGAGUUUUGCCUUUUUGUACCCAUAUGAAACAUUUUUUUAAUGGUUCCAGAAUGGGUGGAGAAAUUUAUCAGAGCAACUAAUGGCCUGAGGUACACUGCUGAAACAGGCAAAGACUGUUGCUUAUGUACACACAGCAUCAAUAUCAGCAUAUUUUCAGUGUGGCUUACCUCCUGCAAUGUUCGGUCCCCCCCCAAGACAGAGGCACUGUUGGAGCAGGUGCUGCCAAAUGGACAGCAUCAUGAUGGCUGAGCCCUACUGGAUGUGUUCAGAGGCUGGAUGGAGGCCAUUCAAGCUUUUUCACCUCUAUUUUAUACCAAGUUUGGAACAACGUGGUUUAAUUGAUACGGUGGUGUUCAGCCAAAUGUUGGACUCGAUGAUUUUGGAGGUCAUUUCCAACCCUAAUGAUUCUGUGAUUCUAUGAAUAUAAGUAUUCGCUGCCAGACAUCUGUGCCAUUCAGUUUACAGGAUUGUCCAGAUGCUAGGGAUUUAUAUUUUGUAUCCUUUACACAGAUUAAAGGGUGUCUGCAGUCUAGGUUUUUAAUUUUUAAGCCCUGUAACAAGACUGUAUCAGUUAUGUCUGAGAAUAUCAGGAUUUAGCUACAGUUUUCCACAGGGAUGUGGGAUAAUGCUUACUUCCUUUUUUUUUUUUUCUUUUUUCUUUGACUAAUUAAAGGCAAAACACAAACCUGUGCAUUUUUAAGCAGCUCUCUGAAAUUUCAUGGCCUUAUAAUUACAAUCUAUUGGACUGAAAACGAAACCUGAAAUUACACAUAAAAACCACAAUAUUACCAGUCCUGGGUUUAAGGCUUAUAUUGCUGUGAAUUUCUAGGAAAAUAUUUAAGAAUCAAUUUAAAUGCUAAUGGACUUGUUUGCCAUAAAACUAGGCAGUAGUCAUACUCAAUAGCUGCUUCAGAGCCAUAGUAUGGGUCUUUCCUUCACUGGACUUCAUUUGUGACAUUAAAUUUAGAGAUGUUGCUAUGUAUCAUAGACCUAUGCAAAAGAGGGGGAAGAGGGAGGGGGUGGUUCUCUGAAACCCUGCAGAAAGCAACUUCUCAAAAGCUGAAGUUUCUCAUGUGGACUUUGAAAAUCUGAUUGUAGAGCCAGACAUGAACUUGUGGAAUCCUGAGGAAGUUAAAGGCAGAAGUACUUGUAUCUUCCUGCUUUGUACCUGGUGACUUGCUGCGGUCCCCAGCUUUGCAUGUGGGAUGUCCUCUAUAGUUCAGACACUUCAAAACUGGAUCCCUCUGCCAGCUUUGAGCAGGUCCUUUGGUCUGUACUUUUUGGGGACCACAGGCACUUUCCACUCUGGGUGGUGGUGGGGUUACAGCCCAUUUCCAUUUCCUGAGGCCUUUCCCAUUUAAAUCAGGACCAGCUGCAUCAUUGCUUCUGAAAAGCACAUUCUGUGACUUCUAUCACACAUCUAGGGCUGGGUCCCAGACCAUGUGAUAGAGAGGACAGUGAGGUGGCUCCCUUGCCCAGGACGCAACCAGUGACCUUGUUAAACUUCUGAUGGGAGGGCCUGGGAACAGCACAUUCCCACACAUUUUCUGAAGCAGUCAUGGGCAGUGAUGUUCAAGCAAAUGGCCCGGGGUCAGGCCAACCACACAGACUUGGAGCACCCCCAGAAUCACUGCCAACACAUUCCUGAGCUGAUGAAAUCAAGUUUGCUGUGAGACUGUGUCCUGUGUUCAGGCUUUCCAAUGUCAGGAGAUUACUUGGUGUAGGUUCCUGGGUCUCUGCUGUCUGGCUUUCACCUCUGUUCGAUUUUCAGGCAUACGCAUUGGAUAUGUCCAUCUGAGAAAACAAUAUGUGGCUAUGGACACACUGUCAUGUAUACACAAGCACAAGAUGGUGGUGGCCCCUUACCCCAUUUUGGCCUGUGCUGACCAGCACUCAUCCAGCAAUUCCUGGACAUGAUAUAAGAGUCAAGCCCAGGACCGUUCCAAAGACACAAUGUUGGGGAAAAGUGGUUGAAUCACACGGGCAAGAAAGAACUGUUCUGUGCCAGUGAAAGAACUCUAGACAUAUUUAAUUCAUUGUUGUAUUUGUAGCAUUUGAAGCCACUUCCAUUUGAUCAAAAUUGUUUGGAAACUGCCUAGCAAAUCCCAAGGUCAUUUGGGAGAAUUGGCAGGGAAAAAAAGAGAGAGUGAAAAAGCAAAUAAACACAUUUCCCAGCAGCAGUUUUUGCUAAAUAGCUAGGCGGGGGAGAAAAAAAAAAAAAAAAAAAAAAGGUGAAGAAAGCUUCCCUCCUGGUACUUGUGGAUUGGAUCAAAACAGGGCAACCAUAGAUAUCCAAAAGCAUGUUUAUGAUCCACAAAAUGUGUAUGCAAGGAAAUUAAAGAUCUGGGAGUGACAAGUUGAAGGAAAGUGAGAAAGCUGCUCAAGUGGAGCUGUUGAUGGAGGAAGGCUGCUCCUGGUGUGUCCCUACAGAACAGAGUGCACUCACCAAGACUGCUGAAACGCCUUUUGACUUCCUGUCAGAAGACGAAACAUGAUUUUGUAAUGCAGCCCAGUCUGAAAGAGGAUGGAGGGACAGAAGCCUUGUUAACCUGGUGAUAAUAUAGCCUUGAGACAGAGAAGAUAGAGCAGUUCUGGAGAAUCAGACACUUUACAAGUCCAGCAGCUGCCCAGUGCCUUGUUCCAUCUUGUUAGCACUGUAUUUCUGCUGUGGCUGUACCCAAGAGAGCUGUGGCAUGAGUGUGGCUCCCCUGUGCUAGGUGCCGUGCACCCCAAAGCAGCAGAGAAACAUGGCCCCUGGCAGCAGACACUCACACCAGAGAGCAGAGACACCUUGACUCCCUUUCUGCAGGCAGUGGGAGGGAUGGGGCACCACGGCAUUCCCCCCUUCAAUGUCCCAGUGAGAGCAAAAGCCUUGAGUAGGACCAAGGUGUGGGGACAUUUGUCUGCAUCACUUCUGAACAACUGGAGACUCAUUUUCAUCCUGUUGAUUGCUCAUCACAUUGAUUGUUAGUGGGUUUGGAAUUUAAAUAUUAAAGGACAGCUUCAGAAUUAGGCAGGCAGAAACCUUAGCCCUUAUUCAUUAAGAAAACAUCUGGAGGCUUUUUUGCCCUCCUGAAUAAGGUUUGAAAAGACAAGCUGUCCUCAUAAAAUCUUACAAACGCCCACAGGACAAUUUUACUUUGAAGUAUCAAUGUGACAGGGCAAAAGCAGAACAAUUUGAUAGUAAUGAUUUCAGUCACCAUCCUAAUGCUUCAUGUUUUAAAGAUCAUUUUGCAAUAAAGACAUCAUGAUUUUACAGUCAGAUUAGAAUAAUAAACCGUAGCACUUAGUGAAUACUUUUCCUCUAUGCCAUGAAAUAAAUUGGAACAGUAAGUGUUUUUCUCAUUUUAGAGUUGGAGAAACUGAGGCCCGAGGACAUGACCUUCUCACAGCACAGUCUGGGAGAACCUCACCUGUCUCCUUGUUAUGGGGCUGCUCUUUGGGUCAUACUGUCCCUCACCUCCUAGUCCAGACAACAUGACUGAUGACAGCUCUCUGCAGGAGAAAGCAGAUGCAGAUUGAUGUUCUCUCUCCCUCUGUAACUUCAGGCACUUCACCAAGACAUCUCAGACAGAGUAUUGAAACUGUCAUUAGGAAAAAAAAUAAAAGCAGAAAGAAGAAGUGUCAGGAUCUAGUCACAAUAGACAAGCUGAAUACAAGUCACCAGACCUGCUGAUAAUCUCAGGACUUGGAGGUAUAACAAGAAUGUUUGCUGAUGAAAGUAGACUGGGAGAAGCUGUUGAGGCAGAGAGACCCUGCAGAGAGACCUUGACAAAUCAAGGGCUGAGUAAUCACCAACUAUAUGAAGUUUAACAAAGGCAAGUGCUGGAUUCUGCACCUGGGAUGGAGCAACCCUGGCUAUACAGACAGACUGGAGAAUGAGCUGCUGGAAAGCAGUGCCAUGGAAAGGGACCUGGGGGUCCUGGUCAAUGGCAAAUUGACCAUGAGCCAGC